GGCAGGGUGGUCGAGUGGUUAAGACGUUAGACUUGAAUCACCUUUGUGAGAACAUCUAAUACCUUCGGGUUCGCGCGUUCGAAUCGCGUCCCUGUCG